ACCAAUUAGCUACCUCGGUUCAAGGUUCGAGGGCCAAUCGGAUUCUCACUGUCCAAUUGCGUCAGUCCGAUUGCGCCAAUCGGAACACGUACAUCUCCAAUUACGUCACGCCGAGCUGAGCCGUAGCAACGGCGUCCACGACCCCAGAGACCCCCGCCGAGGUUGACCCCCGCCGAAGUUGUGAGAUGAGUGACAGUAGUCGCGUCAGUUCAUUCAUUGAAGGAUACGCUCUUUCAAGUUGUCUGUAGUACCGCGCACCGCAAAGGUAAAUACAUACAUAGCUAAUCAAAAUAAUUUUCCGUUUGACAUUUCAAUACAUGUUAGCAUUCAUCGGGUCAAUGACAAGUAAUAUCACGAAUAUUAGAGUUUGUCAUUUCAGAGUUUGUCAUGUAGGCUAGUUAGUAGAUUUCCUCAGGUAGUAUUGCUGUCAUUUAGCUAGCUACUUUUAUAAGGGAUUACUAAUAGGUUACUGUAGCGACAGAUGUUAUUCCGACUAGCAAAAGCAAUAUUUAACCUGUUAUAUAUAAUAUAUGUCACUGGGGACAAAACGAAAUAAAUAUAACUUUUUCACUUGUGGUAAUAAAGUGACCCAGAACAAGUACAAACAUAUUCUUCUGGAAAUAGUAGCCAGCUAAAUAUUUGAAAUGUUAAAAAGCUAAUUAUAACAAUAAAUACAUGUUAUUGUACUAGUGUAAAAAUCGCUCCUUUUACCUAUUAGAUGUCGAGUUCAAAGAGCCACAAAGGAAUGGGGGAUGGGGAAUGGAUGUCCCGUUUGAGGAGGUUUGCCAGCUCUGGGGUUUGGCCUGCUGAUGCAGGCAACAGGCCAGCCCCAAGACAGAAGAGGUGGUAUGACCUCUUUCAAAAGGUAUAUAAAAUGAGCAAAAGAUCACAGAAAAAAAAUUCUGAUGGCCUAUAAAAGAUGACUGAAUUGCCAGAAAUACCAGUCACAGUAUGGGACCUUGAUAAACAUAAUGAACAGCAACUUCAGUGUCAAUGUCAUGUUUAGUCACCAAUAGAAGAUAUGUCAAAACGCUCCAUUUCUAUUGGGUUGUUUUCGUUAAAAAAGUGUUUGUUUUAUUUGGAACAGAUUGAGAAGUGCCCGUUACAGUCAGGGGGUCAAAGAAUGCUGUUUGGUGGGACACAGCAGUGUGCUUGUGGCUUUCACAACCCAAAGCCAACCACUGGGCAAACUGUGGCAGAGACCUCUACCUGUGCUGCCCCUCCCCCACUGGGAACAGCCUCUACCUCAGCCUCUGCCUCUGCCCCUCCUCCACUGGGAAUGGCCUCAGCCUCUGCCUCAGCCCAUGUCCCAGCACGGCCCACACUGAAUUUGUCCAUGUUUUCUAAACCACGAUUUGGAGGCUCACAUGGCGCUGCUGCAAAGCCAAAUGUGAAUGUGGUUAGGAAAGCAAAGCCUCUGUCCAGUCCACCCACCAUGACAGGAGACACCCAG